CAGCUCUCCAAUUAGCCAUGGAGUCGACCAAUCAGCUGCUUGAGGGAUUUCAGGAAGCCAUUUCCUGAAAUAAACACAUGCAAAUACACAAACUAGAGAGAAGAGAGAAGAGAGAGGGGUGAGGUAUGGUGUGAGAGAAGAGAGAGGGGUGAGGUAUGGUGUGAGAGAAGAGAGAAGAGAGAGGGUGAGGUAUGGUGUGAGAGCAGAGAGAAGAGAGAGGGGUGAGGUAUGGUGUGAUAGCAGAGAGAAGAGAGAGGGGUGAGGCAUUGUGUGAGAGCAGAGAGAGGGGUGAGGUAUGGUGUGAGAGCAGAGAGAGGGGUGAGGUAUGGUGUGAGAGCAGAGAGAAGAGAGAGGGGUGAGGUAUUGUGUGAGAGCAGAGAGAGGGGUGAGGUAUGGUGUGAGAGCAGAGAGAGGGGUGAGGUAUGGUGUGAGAACAGAGAGAAGAGUGAGGGGUGAGGUAUUGUGUGAGAGCAGAGAGCAGAGAGAGGGGUGAGGUGUGGUUUGAGAGCAGAGAGAGGGGUGAGGUAUGGUGUGAGAGCAGAGAGAGGGGUGAGGUAUGGUGUGAGAGCAGAGAGAGGGGUGAGGUAUGGUGUGAGAACAGAGAGAAGAGUGAGGGGUGAGGUAUUGUGUGAGAGCAGAGAGAAGAGAGAGGGGUGAGGUAUUGUGUGAGAGCAGAGAGAGGGGUGAGGUAUGGUGUGAGAGCAGAGAGAGGGUGAGGUAUGGGGUGAGAGCAGAGAGAAGAGAGCAGAGAGAGGGGUGAGGUAUGGUGUGAGAGCAGAGAGAAGAGAGAGGUAUGGUGUGAGAGCAGAGAGAAGAGAGAGGGGGUGAGGUAUGGUGUGAGAGCAGAGAGAGGGGUGAGGUAUGGUGUGAGAGCAGAGAGAGGGUUGAGGAAUGGUAUGAGAGCAGAGAGAAGAGAGAGGGGUGAGGUAUUGUGUGAGAGCAGAGAGAGGGGUGAGGUAUGGUGUGAGAGCAGAGAGAGGGGUGAGGUAUGGUGUGAGAGCAGAGAGAGGGGUGAGGUAUGGUGUGAGAGCAGAGAGAAGAUAGAGGUGUGAGGUAUGGUGUGAGAGCAGAGAGAAGAGAGAGGUGUGAGGUAUGGUGUGAGAGCAGAGAGAGGGGUCAGGUAUGGUGUGAGAGCAGAGAGAGGUUUGAGGUGUGGUGUGAGAGCAGAGAGAAGAGAGAGGGGUGAGGUAUUGUGUGAGAGCAGAGAGAGGGGUCAGGUAUGGUGUGAGAGCAGAGAGUGGGGUGAGGUAUGGUGUGAGAGCAGAGAGAGGGGUGAGGUUGGUGUGAGAGCAGAGAGAAGAGAGAGGGGUGAGGCAUUGUGUGAGAGCAGAGAGAGGGGUGAGGUAUGGUGUGAGAGCAGAGAGAGGGGUGAGGUAUGGUGUGAGAGCAGAGAGCAGAGAGCAGAGAGAGGGGU
ensembl:lncRNA